AGCCGCACGCGAUGAUGGACCUUAUCUCGUGCGGUUCUCUUAAGGGGACCGCACGGGAUAAUCUAUUUUCCCGUGCGGUC
rnacentral:pre_miRNA from 11 species